rnacentral:rRNA from 1 species
CGCUCCGGCCUUCAUAGGCCGGAGGAAAGCUUGAUGCGCUCAAGGAGGGGCCCGCGGCGGAUUAGCCAGGCGGUGGGGUAACGGCCUACCGCGGCGACGAUCCGUAGCUGGUCUGAGAGGACGGCCAGCCACACUGGGACUGAGACACGGCCCAGACUCCUACGGGAGGCAGCAGUAAGGGAUCUUCCGCAAUGGGCGCAAGCCUGACGGAGCGACGCCGCGUGGACGAAGACGCCUUUCGGGGUGUAAAGUCCUUUUCGGGGGGAGGAGAUGGACCGUACCCCCGGAAUAAGCCUCGGCUAACUACGUGCCAGCAGCCGCGGUAAUACGUAGGAGGCGAGCGUUGUCCGGAAUUACUGGGUGUAAAGCGCGUGUAGGCGGUGGGUUAAGUCUGUUGUGAAAGCGCCCGGCUCAACCGGGCAGAGUCAAUGGAAACUAGCUCACUGGAGGUCGGUAGAGGCGAGUGGAAUUCCCGGUGUAGUGGUGAAAUGCGUAGAGAUCGGGAGGAACACCAGUGGCGAAGGCGGCUCGCUGGGCCGGACCUGACGCUGAGACGCGAAGGCGUGGGGAGCGAACGGGAUUAGAUACCCCGGUAGUCCACGCAGUAAACGAUGCACACUAGGUGUGGGGGGUAUCGAGCCCCUCCGUGCCGCAGCUAACGCAGUAAGUGUGCCACCUGGGGAGUACGGCCGCAAGGUUAAAACUUAAAGGAAUUGACGGAAUCGAAUU